UGAGGAAUAUUGGUCAAUGGACGCAAGUCUGAACCAGCCAUGCCGCGUGCAGGAAGACGGCUCUAUGAGUUGUAAACUGCUUUUGUAUAAGGGUAAACCCAGAUACGUGUAUCUGGCUGAAAGUACUAUACGAAUAAGGACCGGCUAACUCCGUGCCAGCAGCCGCGGUAAUACGGAGGGUCCAAGCGUUAUCCGGAUUUAUUGGGUUUAAAGGGUGCGUAGGCGGCCGAUUAAGUUAGAGGUGAAAUCCCGUGGCUCAACCACGGAACUGCCUCUGAUACUGGUUGGCUAGAAAAUGGUUGCUGUGGGCGGAAUGUGUAGUGUAGCGGUGAAAUGCUUAGAGAUUACACAGAACACCGAUUGCGAAGGCAGCUCACAAAACCAAUUUUGACGCUGAGGCACGAAAGCGUGGGGAGCAAACAGGAUUAGAUACC
rnacentral:rRNA from 1 species